CAAAAAUGCACAUACUGUGAGCUCGAUGAGUAGGGCGGGACACGUGGUAUCCUGUCUGAAUAUGGGGGGACCAUCCUCCAAGGCUAAAUACUCCUGACUGACCGAUAGUGAACCAGUACCGUGAGGGAAAGGCGAAAAGAACCCCGGCGAGGGGAGUGAAAAAGAACCUGAAACCGUGUACGUACAAGCAGUGGGAGCACGCUUAGGCGUGUGACUGCGUACCUUUUGUAUAAUGGGUCAGCGACUUAUAUUCUGUAGCAAGGUUAACCGAAUAGGGGAGCCGAAGGGAAACCGAGUCUUAACUGGGCGUUAAGUUGCAGGGUAUAGACCCGAAACCCGGUGAUCUAGCCAUGGGCAGGUUGAAGGUUGGGUAACACUAACUGGAGGACCGAACCGACUAAUGUUGAAAAAUUAGCGGAUGACUUGUGGCUGGGGGUGAAAGGCCAAUCAAACCGGGAGAUAGCUGGUUCUCCCCGAAAGCUAUUUAGGUAGCGCCUCGUGAAUUCAUCUCCGGGGGUAGAGCACUGUUUCGGCAAGGGGGUCAUCCCGACUUACCAACCCGAUGCAAACUGCGAAUACCGGAGAAUGUUAUUACGGGAGACACACGGCGGGUGCUAACGUCCGUCGUGAAGAGGGAAACAACCCAGACCGCCAGCUAAGGUCCCAAAGUCAUGGUUAAGUGGGAAACGAUGUGGGAAGGCCCAGACAGCCAGGAUGUUGGCUUAGAAGCAGCCAUCAUUUAAAGAAAGCGUAAUAGCUCACUGGUCGAGUCGGCCUGCGCGGAAGAUGUAACGGGGCUAAACCAUGCACCGAAGCUGCGGCAGCGACGCUUAUGCGUUGUUGGGUAGGGGAGCGUUCUGUAAGCCUGUGAAGGUGUGCUGUGAGGUAUGCUGGAGGUAUCAGAAGUGCGAAUGCUGACAUAAGUAACGAUAAAGCGGGUGAAAAGCCCGCUCGCCGGAAGACCAAGGGUUCCUGUCCAACGUUAAUCGGGGCAGGGUGAGUCGACCCCUAAGGCGAGGCCGAAAGGCGUAGUCGAUGGGAAACAGGUUAAUAUUCCUGUACUUGGUGUUACUGCGAAGGGGGGACGGAGAAGGCUAUGUUGGCCGGGCGACGGUUGUCCCGGUUUAAGCGUGUAGGCUGGUUUUCCAGGCAAAUCCGGAAAAUCAAGGCCGAGGCGUGAUGACGAGGCACUACGGUGCUGAAGCAACAAAUGCCCUGCUUCCAGGAAAAGCCUCUAAGCAUCAGGUAACAUCAAAUCGUACCCCAAACCGACACAGGUGGUCAGGUAGAGAAUACCAAGGCGCUUGAGAGAACUCGGGUGAAGGAACUAGGCAAAAUGGUGCCGUAACUUCGGGAGAAGGCACGCUGAUACGUAGGUGAAGCGACUUGCUCGUGGAGCUGAAAUCAGUCGAAGAUACCAGCUGGCUGCAACUGUUUAUUAAAAACACAGCACUGUGCAAACACGAAAGUGGACGUAUACGGUGUGACGCCUGCCCGGUGCCGGAAGGUUAAUUGAUGGGGUUAGCGCAAGCGAAGCUCUUGAUCGAAGCCCCGGUAAACGGCGGCCGUAACUAUAACGGUCCUAAGGUAGCGAAAUUCCUUGUCGGGUAAGUUCCGACCUGCACGAAUGGCGUAAUGAUGGCCAGGCUGUCUCCACCCGAGACUCAGUGAAAUUGAACUCGCUGUGAAGAUGCAGUGUACCCGCGGCAAGACGGAAAGACCCCGUGAACCUUUACUAUAGCUUGACACUGAACAUUGAGCCUUGAUGUGUAGGAUAGGUGGGAGGCUUUGAAGUGUGGACGCCAGUCUGCAUGGAGCCGACCUUGAAAUACCACCCUUUAAUGUUUGAUGUUCUAACGUGGACCCGUGAUCCGGGUUGCGGACAGUGUCUGGUGGGUAGUUUGACUGGGGCGGUCUCCUCCUAAAGAGUAACGGAGGAGCACGAAGGUUGGCUAAUCCUGGUCGGACAUCAGGAGGUUAGUGCAAUGGCAUAAGCCAGCUUGACUGCGAGCGUGACGGCGCGAGCAGGUGCGAAAGCAGGUCAUAGUGAUCCGGUGGUUCUGAAUGGAAGGGCCAUCGCUCAACGGAUAAAAGGUACUCCGGGGAUAACAGGCUGAUACCGCCCAAGAGUUCAUAUCGACGGCGGUGUUUGGCACCUCGAUGUCGGCUCAUCACAUCCUGGGGCUGAAGUAGGUCCCAAGGGUAUGGCUGUUCGCCAUUUAAAGUGGUACGCGAGCUGGGUUUAGAACGUCGUGAGACAGUUCGGUCCCUAUCUGCCGUGGGCGCUGGAGAACUGAGGGGGGCUGCUCCUAGUACGAGAGGACCGGAGUGGACGCAUCACUGGUGUUCGGGUUGUCAUGCCAAUGGCACUGCCCGGUAGCUAAAUGCGGAAGAGAUAAGUGCUGAAAGCAUCUAAGCACGAAACUUGCCCCGAGAUGAGUUCUCCCUGACCCUUUAAGGGUCCUGAAGGAACGUUGAAGACGACGACGUUGAUAGGCCGGGUGUGUAAGCGCAGCGAUGCGUUGAGCUAACCGGUACUAAUGAACCGUGAGGCUUAACCUUACAACGCCGAAG
rnacentral:rRNA from 1 species